rnacentral:lncRNA from 12 species
GGAUUUGUUUCAGGGUUUGACUUAAGCUCCUUUCUGCUGUUUCCCAGACUACUCCAGGCCACAAAGCAGCCCAGCAUCCAGAGGGCAUGCCAGGCCUUUAGAAUCCAACCUUCUCGUCGUACGGAUGAAACUGAGACCCAGAGAGGAGAGGUGGUUUUCCCAUCGUCACACAGUGAGUCGGUGGCAGAGAUGCUUGUUGAACUCAGGUCUCUUGCCUCCAUAAAGGAAGUAUUGGCCACUGUUACAAGCUGCUAGGUGUCAGGUGGCCAGCAGGAAGUAUUACCAGUGGCCUCAGGGGCAAAUGAGCUUUUGGAAUCUGAGACCUUGCAUAGGGGCUGGCACAUUAAAAUAUGCAGGAAUGUUGGUUUAUUGAAUUGGAGAAUCACUGAAUUAGUGAUACAAAUAAGUGUGAGGGGAGGGCUAAGGCAAUGGUAGUGCCAUUUGCAAAAGUACAAAAUCAGGCAGAAAGAAACUAGAAUCCAGAUGAGGAUCUAAAUGAUGCAGAAGUUACAAGGGGGUUUUUUGUGUGUGUAAGUUAAUUUUGUCAACUCUCAAACUUGACCAUGAAAACUUGGCCAAAGAGACAUUCUGAGACAAAGGGCCUCUGUGCCCAGCUGGCUCGCACCCAUGGAGGACAGCUCAGAGGACGGAGAAGCAGCCUGCUGCUCAGGCCUCCAACUGAUAUGCGAUUGAGACCAUCUGCCAAUUGUGGAUACUUGGACAUGCUUGGCCUGAGGAAGAAUCACCUUGGACAGAUGCCCAAACUAAAGAGACCAGAUCCAGCUGGUCUUUCCAGGUCUCAAGUGCAAACUGAUGAUCAAUACAUCCACCUAUACACUCUGAUCAUUUGCCCCAAUGCUACUUGUGAGGUCAAAAUCAACAACUAGCAAAUGGCAGGUGAGAUUCUGGAGGAUGACUGGGACCUACUGCCUCACAAAAAGAUAAAAGACCUCUAUGCCUGGAAACCAAGGAAAUGGGGUGAAUGUCUGCAAAUAGAAGAUCCUAAAGAUAAGAAACCUGAGAUUAGACAGUGUUUGGCUGGAAAACAGGUGGAGAUGUCAGCUAUGAGGAUAGGAAAAGAAGGCUGGGAAUAGAAGCAGAAACUGAGGCAUUAAUCCCUCAAGGAGGUAUCCAGCUAAAUAUUGG